GGGGAUUUAGCUCAGCGGUAGAGCGCUUGUCUAACGAGCACAAGGCCCUGGGUUCGGUCCCCAGCUCCG
rnacentral:tRNA from 1 species